AACGAACGCUGGCGGAAUGCUUUACACAUGCAAGUCGAACGGUAGAGGGGGCAACCCCUCGAGAGUGGCGAACGGGUGAGUAAUAUAUCGGAACGUGCCCAGUCGUGGGGGAUAACGUAGCGAAAGUUACGCUAAUACCGCAUACGAUCUACGGAUGAAAGCGGGGGAUCGCAAGACCUCGCGCGAUUGGAGCGGCCGAUAUCAGAUUAGGUAGUUGGUGGGGUAAAGGCUCACCAAGCCAACGAUCUGUAGCUGGUCUGAGAGGACGACCAGCCACACUGGAACUGAGACACGGUCCAGACUCCUACGGGAGGCAGCAGUGGGGAAUUUUGGACAAUGGACGCAAGUCUGAUCCAGCCAUUCCGCGUGCAGGAUGAAGGCCCUCGGGUUGUAAACUGCUUUUGUACGGAACGAAAAGGUUUCCAUUAAUACUGGGAGCUCAUGACGGUACCGUAAGAAUAAGCACCGGCUAACUACGUGCCAGCCGCCGCAGUAA
rnacentral:rRNA from 1 species